AAUUCUACCAGCUGCAAAUAAUUUCGCUCUUAGCUUUUAAGAUUUAGAAUCAAUUCCAAUGGUUCUUUGUUAAUUUGUUUUAAACUUGCAUAACUGGAUUAUAUAUUUGAGAAAUGGUUACAUUAGUCAUCUCACUUGGACUGUGUUCAAACUCUGGUUGAUAAUGCUUGGUAUCUCAUAUCCUUGUAUCAGGCAGUCCAUCGAUUUAUACAGUAGUGUACCAUCUCCAAGUCUUAACUUCCUGGGGACGCCUACGUUAUCAUGUUUAGGCAACUCAUGUAUCUCUUAUUCAUUAACAAGAAGAUACACUCCUGAAGUACUCCCUUCUUCGCAAAACCUCUAUUACCACCAGUAGCAGAUGCACGUCGGCCACCAGAAAGGUGUAGUUCACAUUCUCUGCUGCCCUCCAUUCAAGGGAGGCCUUCCUUAAGAAAAGCAACUGCUGACAAGAAAUCAUCCAAGGUCUCACAUGAGGUUUCUCUUCCUAGCCAGAGUUCAUAUGGACAAGCUGUGGUGAAUGGCAUAAAUGUUCUUUGUGGUGUUGGAAUUCUUUCAACUACUUGUGCUGUCAAAGAAGGUUGAUGGGUUGGGCUCUCAAUUCUGUUUAUCUUUGCUGUUGUUUCUUACUACACUGGGAUUCUCCUGCAUUCCUGUUUGGACAGUCAACCUGGGCUCGAGACUUACCCGGAUAUUGGCCAUGCUGCCUUUGGUAAUGUGGGACGUAUUGCUACAUCUGUUUCACUCAUGCCAGAUCCAAAAGCUAGAUCAUAUUUAUGCAGCCUCUUUGUCACUGCUGCUUUGAUUUGUUGCGUAUACUUCAUCGGAACUGCAUUCCUUGCGAAGGAUGACAUGAUAAAUGCUAUUCAUACUAGCUUUUGGAAGAUAUCUAUGGUUAUGGUUGAAGAAUGUUGAAGACAAAAUUGCCUUUUGCUCAUGGAGUGGUUCAUUU